AGAGUUUGAUCCUGGCUCAGAACGAACGCUGGCGGCAUGCCUAACACGUGCAAGUCGAACGAGACCUUCGAGUCUAGUGGCGCACGGGUGCGUAACACGUGGGAACCUGCCCUUAGGUUCGGAAUAACCAGGAGAAAUCCUGGCUAAUACCGAAUAAUGUCUUCGGACCAAAGAUUUAUCGCCUUUGGAUGGGCCCGCGUAGGAUUAGGUAGUUGGUGGGGUAAUGGCCUACCAAGCCGACGAUCCUUAGCUGGUCUGAGAGGAUGAUCAGCCACACUGGGACUGAGACACGGCCCAGACUCCUACGGGAGGCAGCAGUGGGGAAUAUUGGACAAUGGGCGAAAGCCCGAUCCAGCAAUGCCGCGUGAGUGAUGAAGGCCUUAGGGUUGUAAAGCUCUUUUACCCGGGAUGAUAAUGACAGUACCGGGAGAAUAAGCUCCGGCUAACUCCGUG
rnacentral:rRNA from 1 species